UACGUAGGGUGCAAGCGUUGUCCGGAAUUAUUGGGCGUAAAGAGCUCGUAGGCGGUCUGUCGCGUCUGCUGUGAAAACCUGGGGCUUAACCCCGGGCCUGCAGUGGGUACGGGCAGACUAGAGUGCGGUAGGGGAGACUGGAAUUCCUGGUGUAGCGGUGAAAUGCGCAGAUAUCAGGAGGAACACCGGUGGCGAAGGCGGGUCUCUGGGCCGUAACUGACGCUGAGGAGCGAAAGCAUGGGGAGCGAACGGG
rnacentral:rRNA from 1 species